AGCCCCCUUUUCUCGCCCAAAAGUGAAACCUAGCCGUCACCACCCACCCCAUGGCCGCCACCCUGUCACUUCCGUCGCGUCGCCUUACCGCCACCACGACCAUCGGACUGCAAAACCAAUAGCCUUAAACAUUGAAGUCCGUUGGUUUGAAGCUUUCGCCGCCUCCACUGCCCCCCCCCCCCCCCCCCCGCCCCCCCUUUUUUGUGGUUGUCAAUGUUGAACUUGAGUUCCCAUUUUUCAGCUAUAAAUACAGCUCCUCUACGGGCUGUUAAAAGCAGGUUGAACAAGCAUAAAAAAAAAUCCCUUUUAUUUUUUCAAGUUUUCCCUCAUAAAAUUCCCUUUGCUAAAAACUUGGAUUCUCAGAAAAUCGUUUUUUUUACUGUAAGUUUUGAUUGUCGAAAUCCCUUCUUUUAGUUCUCGGCUGAGCAAAGACCACUUCAAGUGGAUUCCGAGACUCGACGAAGAUAAUAGCCUCAGUUCGCUAUCACGGAGAAGGUUAAUGCCAGUCUGUUAUCUAAUCUUUUUUUUUUCAUGAGCAACUUUGGGAGCAUUUGGAGUUAUGGCAACUCUGGAUUCUGCCCAUAUCAGAGAGCGGCCAGCAGCAGAUUUAUUUGCUCGUGUCUAGCAGUCCCACCUCGUCCACGUCUCGAGUCUCCGUCCUUCUUCCUUAUUCAAAAUUUUAAGCCUUCAUAUUGUUUGAUACAUGCUAUUUAUAUUAUUUGACUAACACUCUUGUGAAUUUGUAUUUUUUGUAGUUUUGUUUCGAACUCGUAACUUGACUUUAAGUAUAUUAGUAAGUUUAGUCA